UAUCCUCUCCUCGGGGAGUCGGGGCUGAUUCCUUCUCGACGGAAACAAACAGAAAAGGAGCGGACUGGAGCCUGCGCGCUAGGGUUAGAAAUUUAGGGAAAACCGGUGGGACGCAGGGGAGGCACGGCAGCAGCGGCGACGCGCCGCCGUCCUCAGCCAGAGGUCGCCGCAGUGCACAGGCACGGACGCACACCCACGGUGCGGCCCGAAGGUGCAGCGGCCGGCACUGAUUCGAGCCGUAUUCGUCCCUAAUUUCUCAAUCCAGGACGACAGAGCAGGACGCUAGGUUUCCCCACGUAUUGCCCGCGCCGCCACCCGCAGAAGCCCGCCGCCGCCACUCCUGCCGGCCGCCGGCGACCCUCCGCCUCCUCCGUCCUCGGCCGAACCCCGCCGUCCUCCCUCACCGUCCGCCCGACUCGGCCGACUUGCCCCUCUCCGCCCGUCUCGGUCUGCUCCCGCCCGCUCCUUGAAGGUCGACGGCGCUAGCAACUUCCGAUUAGUCCCCGUCCCAGCCGGAACACGCAAUCGUCGGUCGUCCACGACUCCGCCCGCUCCUCCCGGGCCGAGCUCCCUCAAGAGCUGCUCUUAAAUCAUGCGGCACUGGGGGGUGCUGCUGCUGCUGCUGCUGCUUCUCUGCACGGCCACCGGCGAGUCGGGAAGUGGUGGACCCGCAGGCCAGAGUAUCGGCGCGGGAGCAGCAGGGCCUCGAGGCGGCGUGACGGGAGGAGAGGGGGGCGUUUUCGGCUGGCCAGCGUCGCCUGGACGCAGCGCAGGAGGUGAGAAAUACGUACCUGUACUCUGGAGGGCGUCCGUCGCUGCAGCGGCGGUGCUCAUGUGGGCAUGAGAGAGCCCGGGGUAAAUUGUGGUUUUAGACAAUGUUCGGGAUAUCGGUAACUGGUAACUGAUCGGCCACCCUAGGAGAAACGAUUAAUCGGUGAAUCGGCAAGUUAACUGAUUUUAUCGGUUGCCCAUUUAUCGGUUUAGGAUUUAGGAAAACUGCAAACAUAUAUCUAGUUUUUUACAUACUA